rnacentral:rRNA from 1 species
ACGCUGGCGGCGUGCCUAAUACAUGCAAGUAGAACGCUGAAGGAGGAGCUUGCUUCUCUGGAUGAGUUGCGAACGGGUGAGUAACGCGUAGGUAACCUGCCUGGUAGCGGGGGAUAACUAUUGGAAACGAUAGCUAAUACCGCAUAAGAGUAGAUGUUGCAUGACAUUUGCUUAAAAGGUGCAAUUGCAUCACUACCAGAUGGACCUGCGUUGUAUUAGCUAGUUGGUGGGGUAACGGCUCACCAAGGCGACGAUACAUAGCCGACCUGAGAGGGUGAUCGGCCACACUGGGACUGAGACACGGCCCAGACUCCUACGGGAGGCAGCAGUAGGGAAUCUUCGGCAAUGGACGGAAGUCUGACCGAGCAACGCCGCGUGAGUGAAGAAGGUUUUCGGAUCGUAAAGCUCUGUUGUAAGAGAAGAACGAGUGUGAGAGUGGAAAGUUCACACUGUGACGGUAUCUUACCAGAAAGGGACGGCUAACUACGUGCCAGCAGCCGCGGUAAUACGUAGGUCCCGAGCGUUGUCCGGAUUUAUUGGGCGUAAAGCGAGCGCAGGCGGUUAGGUAAGUCUGAAGUUAAAGGCUGUGGCUUAACCAUAGUACGCUUUGGAAACUGUUUAACUUGAGUGCAAGAGGGGAGAGUGGAAUUCCAUGUGUAGCGGUGAAAUGCGUAGAUAUAUGGAGGAACACCGGUGGCGAAAGCGGCUCUCUGGCUUGUAACUGACGCUGAGGCUCGAAAGCGUGGGGAGCAACCAGGAUUAGAUACCCUGGUAGUCCACGCCGUAAACGAUGAGUGCUAGGCGUUAGACCCUUUCCGGGGUUUAGUGCCGUAGCUAACGCAUUAAGCACUCCGCCUGGGGAGUACGACCGCAAGGUUGAAACUCAAAGGAAUUGACGGGGGCCCCGC